GAACUUUCACUCUCUUGUUGUUUGUCUUCUUUUGAAGUGAGCGCGGUCGGCUCAGCCGGCGCCAUCCCGCCAACGGUCAUUGGCGGCUCCGUCUCCUCUCGGCCCCUGCAAGAAACUGCUCCCGAACCCCCAUCGGACCCGACCGGGUCCUGUGUCUCACCUCCUCCGCUGAGACCCAAAAGACAGCUGUUCUUACGUCCCUGCAUGAGACCAACAGCACUUAGACCUGUCUCCGUCGCCUCUGUAAAUGUCUUCAGCUGCAGUGCCUUAAGUGAGAGGAGCCUGUGUCUUCACAUAAUCUGACUCUAAAGUGAGCAAUGUUCAUCAGUUACCAGGUAAAUCAGGUAAAAUAAAUGGCAGUAUGGCAAAAUACAGCCCAUUCAGAGUUAUGGAGCAGUGUGAGUUUAGAUCCACCUGAUGAUGAGGAUAGAGAGCAUAUAUACAUUCAUCCUUUAUACAUUUAUCUAUAUGUACUAUCUCUAUGAAAGAUGCAGGGUGAGAACAGAAAAUCAUGAGAAAUUUCUCCUCUAGGGUAAAUGACACAGGGAAAACUUCAAGGUUAUUUUAUUUAUUUGUUUGUUUGUUUAUUUAUUUGGAAGGGAGGGGGAGUGGGCAGCAGGCUUGGAAGUCAAAAACAGAGUUUUCCUUUUCAUUCAUUUCUUUGGGUUUCUUCUUUCUUUCUGACUGUCCUAAUGCAACUGGCCCCUGACUUGCAUGGUUCCAAACAUGAAAUGAAUUACAUGUUAUUGCAUAACUGAAUGAAAGAAAAUGAGAAAAAGGAAAAAAAGCAAAACAACAAGCCUCAAUGACAGUCAUUAACAACUGGCAUUUUGGUGUAGAAACAAGAAGCCAAGAAAUGAGAUGCUUUGUAAACCCCCAGAGCUUUCCAAACUGUAUGCAAAUUCCUGAGGCACCAGGUCACCUGGCACCAUUUGGCAUUUCAGCUGAUUCUAGGAGGUGGAAAUAGAGAGGUGUACGAAUGUGAAAAGCACACUGAUUUUUUUUAACCUCCAAACAUUUCCUUAGUCCUAAAUUAUGGUUCAGGUUGGUUUGUAAGUUAUAUGAGCCAGUUCGCUGAUCCCCAGAUAUGAGACUCAGGGGAGAUAAAGCCAGACUCCAAAAUAAUCAUUCAAAAAUCCAGUCGGAGGAAGGCUGAAUAUGAUACUUCUGGGGAUGGUGGCCUGUGGAGGGAAGAAAAAGAAUUUUAGAUGGGAAAUUACUCAGAAUAUCAUAAAAAUGUGCCGGAGAGGGAACGAAAGAAGGAGAACCCAUUGCAGUAUAUGAAAAAGAAAUUCUUUUACAAAACGUCGCAAAGGAAUCUAUCUUUUCAUCUUGUGCAUUUCCCUAAUUUUGAUUUGGGUCCACCAGAGUGUGUGGCUUCUCAGUGUGCCUGCUCCCUCUUCUUCAUGAAGAUCCUCACCACACCCAGCAACACCAUCACCGGAAAUCUCUGGUAAAGGCUUUCUUUGAUAGAUUCAAGAAUGCUCAUGUCUCUGGUUAGAAAAGAAACAUUUUCUGAUAGAAAACAGAUAGGUUCAGUGAAGAUACCUGCAAGGCAGCACCAUAUAUACCUGAGGGUUUUCUGCAUGGCCUUAAAGCUUGAAGUUCUGGUGUUUAAGGGUUCUAAAUACACGAGGGCUGCUCUGAAGGUAGUGCCUCCUAUGUUAUUAUGUUGGCCCACAACAUCAGAGGUGGAUGUUGGUGGUGUGGCAGUAAAGGUUGAACCUUCCAACCAAUAUUCCAUUGCAUUUUGCUGCCAUGUGACAGAAGGCAGCAGAGGGGCAGACUGACAAAAUGGCGUCUGAAGUGGAAGUGCAUACGAAGCAAAGGAAUGAAAUUGAAUUCCUCCAUGCAGAAAUCACUGAACCCACUGACAUUCAUUGAUACUUGCUGAAUGUGUAUGGAGACCAAAGAGUGGAUGUGAGCGCAGUGAGGUGGUGGGUGGUGCAUUUCAGCAGUGGCAACAGUGACAUGAAAAACAAGUCAUAUUCCAGAUGGCCAUGAAGAUUUUUAUGAGCAUGGCAUGCAGGCUCUUUUCCACUGCUGGUGAAAAUGCACAGCUAAUGUGGUGACUACGCUGAAAAAUAGCGUUUCGUAACUGACAAUUUUCUCUAUCAAAUAGCAUUAUUGUGUUCUUUGUAUCUGUUGUUGUUUCCAAGGAAUUAAAUAGGAGGCAUUUCUUUCAGAGUGAUCUACAUGCUUAUAUUUUUAAUGCCUAUCCUGCCCAAAACAGCUGGAUUUGGGUUAAAGUCAUCAUUAAUGUGUUUAGCUGGUUAUCUGCAUGUGUAGUUAGUGAAAUUAGGAAUCGUUUUCAGCUCUAUGCCUACAUUUUGCAUGCAUAUUUCUGUACUUAAAACAUCUGAUUAUGAGGUCUACAGCCUCUUUGUCAAUGUUUCCAUCAGUAAGUGAGGGGAAAUUGUUCCUUCAGUAAGCACACAGGGAUAUUGUGAAGCAAAAUUCAUUCUUUUGGAAAGCACACUAAAAUCCUUGGAAGGGGAGCACAAUGUAAGUGCAAAAUAUUUUUUUUAUGUAGGUUGAGUCACAUUCCCCUAUCCUAUGUGUACAGCUGAAAUAGCUGUUUAGGAUUGGAUUUAAUUAGGAAAAGCCUGCAAAGUGUUCUGUGCACUGUAUGGUAUGCUCAUCAUUAAUGAAACAGUACUGGUACGUGAGAUCCUGUGUGCUUUUCCUUAUGUAAAAAACUCAAAAAACGGGAACACAACAGAAACACAGGUAAGCCCCAUACACACCUAUGUAUGCCUUUGCCAUAGAUGCCUUGAGCCACCCAGUUAUGUCAAAUUCUUCUUCACAGGGAAGAGGGUUAUGAAGCUUCUUUUUUUUUUUUUUUUUUCUGAGAAAUAAAUGGAAGAGGUGAAUGCUGAGUUAACUUCUACUGAAAUGUGGUUGAGGUUUUCAGAAACGGAUGUGUGUAUUUGGGUAAUGAGAUGCAUCCCUAUCAACCUGAUUGUAAAAAUGCUGAAUUUACCACCACAUCUGCGGAAGCCAAUGGUUACUUAUCCUCCACGACAUUAUCAUGAACAAACCAGGGUCACAAGGACCCUACAGGCUUCUUAUCUGCCUAGAAGCACUAGAAACGUAUUUGAUGUGGUGUGCUUGAAAAGAAUAAAAAUUAAAAAAAGGAAAAGAAUACCUUUUGAGAAGGCAAAACUUGUGCCCGGGACUCCUCUUGGCUGCAGUAUGACAGCAGCAGCAUCUCCCGACCUGCCAGGCACUUCCAGCUUUCAGGCAGCACGGUGAGUUGUGUCAGACUGGCGUCGGUCUUGUAUUCCUAUCUUAUGAAACAUUUUCAAUGGAACAUUUUAAUUAAGAUCAGCUUUGCACACUGGCAUCAGACGACGCACAACCUUCCCACAGUCAAAUAUCACUGGAGAAAACAGUAAGCAGUUGGUUGUAGCUCUGCGUUGAGCUUUGAACCAAGGUGGGAACCCACUCCAGGUUUUCAUGCAGUGUCCAACUGCAGCCGUGCUCCGAGAGCUCAGCCUGGUGUGUGAUGUGUAAAAAACACCAGGAUAUCUGUUCCACAAAUACAGAACUCAUUCCCUGGAUUCAGAUGGAUUUUCUGACAUUUAACGAGUAAAUCUGUAAUGGAGUUGGGAAUUAAAAUUAAUUUGAAC
ensembl:lncRNA